UUGCUUGCAAGACUAUGAAAGUGGCGAACGGGUGAGGAACACGUAAGAAUCUACCUUUAGGACGGGGAUAACUUCUGGAAACGGAUGCUAAUACCCGAUAUGCUGUGGAGUGAAAGGAAUUUCGCCUAAAGAUGAUCUUGCGUCUGAUUAGCUAGAUAGUGUGGUAACUGCACACUAUGGCGACGAUCAGUAGCUGGUCUGAGAGGAUGGACAGCCACAUUGGGACUGAGACACGGCCCAAACUCC
rnacentral:rRNA from 1 species